GUAAACCAAAGAGGUCUGGUUCCUGUAUCAUCCCCGCGCCGGGCUGAGCGCCGGGGAGCGAGCCCACGGCCACUCGCUCGAGGAAUCUGGAGCGGGCUCAGGGCUCAGCAGCUGAGCUUUCUCACUCCGGCUGUAGGGCUACUCACCUGGCAGAGACCAUAUUGUUGCCUCUCCAUCAAGCCUGCAGCUAAAAAGAGGUUUUCCAGACAGUGCAGUGAAGAUCCCACCCUUCAGAGUCCUCCAUGCAGUGAGGAUCCCACUCUUUGGUGACCUCAACACAGUCAUGACCAUGGGAACAGAUGUCUCUUUCCUGGGGUGAUAGCAGACAGGUCCAUGAGGAAAUUUUCUUACCGGCAACUCCUCUAACAUAGAAGGGAGAUCAAGCCAGAGGUAAGUCAGUCCGUCGUGCAGGAACACACUGCAGGGAUCAUUGCAGGGAAUGCUUUGGGAU
rnacentral:lncRNA from 13 species